CAAUUUGCCAGGCCGUUGGGAGUGAAAAUCAAACUACUGUUAUGUUUUAGAAGUGGCCACUACGUAUGUCCAUCCCAGAAGUUGGAUCUCAUCGGAGUGUUUGGUUAAACUUCCGUAUAGCUGGCUCCGAGGACAAUCUGGUGAUUCUGUCGGAAAUCAAAACUCAGCUGGCAGAUUAAAACACACCAUCGCAGACAUGGAUCUGCAGUUUUGGCGACAUCCAGACCUCGGAUCUGAUGUCUGGAUUCUCCCCUCUGCAUCAUUGGCCGCGACAUCGUCUAAAAAUAUUCAAAAACCGGGUUACUCGGACAGAUUGACAAUGAAAAGCAAAGUGCGCUACCGAAGGAUCAACAGCCGCCUCCGUGGUGAAUUUGAAAGUGAUGUGACCAGCAUUAAAGCAGAAAAUUACUUGUAAUGAUAAGUGAAACAAAUUUUGUUCGAAAUUAAAUUUUAUUUUGCUUAAAUGUAUUCAACAAUAAAAUUCCGACAAAAUUCUA